UACGGAGGAUGCGAGCGUUAUCCGGAUUUAUUGAGUUUAAAGGGUGCGCAGGCGGAUUUUUAAGUCAGCGGUCAAAUCGUGGGGCUCAACCCCAUCCAGCCGUUGAAACUGGGGAUCUAGAGUGUGCGAGAGGUAUGCGGAAUGCGUGGUGUAGCGGUGAAAUGCAUAGAUAUCACGCAGAACCCCGAUUGCGAAGGCAGCAUACCGGUGCACAACUGACGCUCAGGCACGAAAGCGUGGGUAUCGAACAGG
rnacentral:rRNA from 1 species